rnacentral:rRNA from 1 species
CCUACGGGUGGCAGCAGUGGGGAAUAUUGCACAAUGGGGGAAACCCUGAUGCAGCGACGCCGCGUGAGUGAAGAAGGAUUUCGGUAUGUAAAGCUCUAUCAGCAGGGAAGAGAAUGACGGUACCUGACUAAGAAGCCCCGGCUAACGACGUGCCAGCAGCCGCGGUAAUACGUAGGGGGCAAGCGUUAGCCGGAUUUACUGGGUGUAACGGGUGCGGAGGUGGGAGGGCAAGUCAGAUGUGAAAGCCCGGGGCUCAACCCCGGUACUGCCUUUGAAACUGUCCAGCUGGAGUGCAGGAGAGGUAAGCGGUAUUCCUAGUGUAGCGUUGCAAUGCGUCGAUAUUCGGCGGAACACCAGUGGCGACGGCGGCUUACUGGACUGUACCUGCCACUGAGGCACGACAGCGUGGGGAGCACACAGGAUUAGAUACCCGGGUAGUC